rnacentral:rRNA from 1 species
GUCAACUCCCAACCCAAUGUGAACGUUACCAAACUGUUGCCUCGGCGGGAUCUCUGCCCCGGGUGCGUCGCAGCCCCGGACCAAGGCGCCCGCCGGAGGACCAACCAAAACUCUUUUGUAUACCCCCUCGCGGGUUUUUAUAUCUGAGCCAUCUCGGCGCCUCUCGUAGGCGUUUCGAAAAUGAAUCAAAACUUUCAACAACGGAUCUCUUGGUUCUGGCAUCGAUGAAGAACGCAGCGAAAUGCGAUAAGUAAUGUGAAUUGCAGAAUUCAGUGAAUCAUCGAAUCUUUGAACGCACAUUGCGCCCGCCAGUAUUCUGGCGGGCAUGCCUGUCCGAGCGUCAUUUCAACCCUCGAACCCCUCCGGGGGGUCGGCGUUGGGGAUCGGCCCUUUACGGGGCCGGCCCCGAAAUACAGUGGCGGUCUCGCCGCAGCCUCUCCUGCGCAGUAGUUUGCACACUCGCAUCGGGAGCGCGGCGCGUCCAUUGCCGUAAAACACCCAACUUUCUGAAAUGUUGACCUCGGAUCAGGUAGGAAUACCCGCUGAACUUAAGCAUAUCAAUAAGCGGAGGAA